AUCCAGCUGACGAGUCCAAAAUAGGACGAAACGCGCGUCGAACUGGAU
rnacentral:hammerhead_ribozyme from 1 species